CCCCCAGAGGCUCAUAUUUGAAUGCUUACUUACCAGGAAGCAGUGUUCCUCUGUGCUUUCUGCUUCAAGCUCCUGCCUUCAAUUCCCUCAAUGGUAAACUAACUUGUAAGCCAAACAAACCCCUUCUCCUCCGAGUUGCUUUCGAACCCUUCGACAGGUCGGAGCUGGACUCCGGCAGACCCCCACAAAGAUCUUUACUGAACAUAUGAGACAUGACAUAUGAGGCAGCCACAAGAUGAGAGGAGCCAGUGCAGAGGAAUGUAUGUGGGGUCCCAGAGAUCAUAAAGUCAUGAGAAGGCAGGGCUUGCAGAAUGCUCUGAUUUUCUAAGAGCAAGCCAUGGAACUCCAGAGCAAGAAAAGCCUGAGCUCUGUUCAGUUCUUUAUAUGUAGCACACAACACCAAGUCCAGAAGUUCACUGAAGUCAAGAGUUUUCUCAGCCAUUUCUGAUGCUUCUCAUCGCAUAUAUAUCUUUGUCACAUUCCCUCCUAUUCCAGUUCAACUUCACUGUUUGCACACUACUGAAACAAGACCUCUUCAAUAUCCACCGGUUUGCUGAAGAUGUUAAAGCGUUUAUCUGUGGCCAGCCUCUUGGUGACAUCCCUGAGAAACAACCGCAACUCUCUUAGUGUAUUUUCCUCCUGGUCUUCCAUCCGAUUUUUUUCUGACUCUGAUAACUGACGAGGAGGAGAUGGUAGUGCAAGCGGGAGCACUUCCAUAGCACAUAGAGCUAAAAAGAGAAGAAAAAGGGUUAAGACUUUAGCAUGGCAAGCCAGAACUCAACUGGACUUCUUGCAUUCUCUCAAAACAAUCUUUAAAGAAAAAGAAAGUACAAGUAUAUGAGAACCAUAAACACCCAAGUAGUAAAACUUCAAACGGAAAUUAAAAGGGAAUAAGAAGGUGUAUGGAUUACAAAAAUUACCUUUCAAGCCAGGCGUGGCAGCACAUGCUUUUAAUCCCAGCACUCUGGGAG